UGAGGAAUAUUGGUCAAUGGGCGAGAGCCUGAACCAGCCAAGUCGCGUGAAGGAAGACUGCCUUAUGGGUUGUAAACUUCUUUUAUACAGGAAUAAAAAGGCUUACGUGUAGGCCAUUGCAAGUACUGUAUGAAUAAGCAUCGGCUAACUCCGUGCCAGCAGCCGCGGUAAUACGGAGGAUGCGAGCGUUAUCCGGAUUUAUUGGGUUUAAAGGGUGCGCAGGCGGGCUUUUAAGUCAGCGGUGAAAUCUGGACGCUUAACGUCCAAACUGCCGUUGAAACUGGGAGUCUUGAGUAUGGAUGAAGUAGGCGGAAUUCGUUGUGUAGCGGUGACAUGCAUAGAUAUAACGAGGAACUCCGAUUGCGUAGGCAGCUUACUAAGCCAUAACUGACGCUCAUGCACGAAAGCGUGGGGGAUCAAACAGGAUUAGAUACCCUGGUAGUCCACGCCGUAAACGAUGAUUACUAGUUGUAUGCGAUAUGAUAGUAUGUGACUAAGCGAAAGCGAUAAGUAAUCCACCUGGGGAGUACGCCGGCAACGGUGAAACUUAAAUGAAUUGACGGGGUCAUAGCUGUUUCCUG
rnacentral:rRNA from 1 species